UAGAUACCUGGCUUUUAAAACUCUCCUAACCAGCAAGUUUGGAUGAGUGAUAAUUCUCCAAAUCUGCUUAGCUAGCAAGGCUUUAUUGAAGGAAAUUGAGCCAAUCUACCAGUCUCUGGUGAAGCACAUGUACCAGGCAACUCUACAAAUGUUCACGGAAGCCGCUCUAAAAGAGAUAGAAAAGACGCAUGCCCUGUCUACUCUGCAAGCCCACAAUUUCAUCACUAAAUUCAAGAAUCAGCUCAAAGAUGCUGCCAUCAGACCAGCAAACUGGGAUUACAAAAUCAAACUAGUUGCCGAAAUAGAGUCAGAAAUGGA